rfam:Candidatus Magasanikbacteria bacterium RIFCSPLOWO2_02_FTLL_44_11 rifcsplowo2_02_scaffold_6800, whole genome shotgun sequence.
GGAGAGGUGGCCGAGUUGGUCGAAGGCACCACACUGCUAACGUGGCAGGGUCUAAAAAGCCCUCGAGGGUUCGAAUCCCUCCCUCUCCG